GUGGGGAAUUUUGGACAAUGGGCGCAAGCCUGAUCCAGCAAUGCCGCGUGCAGGAAGAAGGCCUUCGGGUUGUAAACUGCUUUUGUACGGAACGAAACGGUCCUGGUUAAUACCCGGGGCUAAUGACGGUACCGUAAGAAUAAGCACCGGCUAACUACGUGCCAGCAGCCGCGGUAAUACGUAGGGUGCAAGCGUUAAUCGGAAUUACUGGGCGUGAAGCGUGCGCAGGCGGUGCUGUAAGACAGGCGUGAAAUCCCCGGGCUUAACCUGGGAAUUGCGCUUGUGACUGCAGUGCUGGAGUGCGGCAGAGGGGGAUGGAAUUCCGCGUGUAGCAGUGAAAUGCGUAGAUAUGCGGAGGAACACCGAUGGCGAAGGCAAUCCCCUGGGCCUGCACUGACGCUCAUGCACGAAAGCGUGGGGAGCAAACAGGAUUAGAAACCCUGUAGUCC
rnacentral:rRNA from 1 species